rnacentral:rRNA from 1 species
UUUUUUUAUGGGACGAGAAGACCCUAUAGAGUUUUACACUUAUAUAUAUUAUUAUUAGUUUAGUUUGGUUUUAUUUUUAAAUAAGUUUAUUGUGUUUUGUUGGGGUGAUGGGAAGAAUUUGUUUAACUCUUCUUUAUUUUUAUACAUUUAUUUGUGUUAUUAUGAUCCAUUUAUUUUGAUUAAAAGAUUAAAUUACCUUAGGGAUAACAGCGUUAUCCCCCUUGAGAGUUCUUAUUGGCAGGGGGGUUUGCGACCUCGAUGUUGGAUUAAGGUUGAUUUUUGGUGUAGGAGCUGAAUAUAAAUAUUAGGUCUGUUCGACCUUUAAAAUCUUACAUGAUCUGAGUUCAAACCGGCGUGAGCCAGGUUGGUUUCUAUCUAUAAUGAUUUUGUAUACUUUAGUACGAGAGGACCAGGUGUGCGGAAUAAUUUUAAUUAUUGUUGAUUUUCAUUAACUU